rnacentral:rRNA from 1 species
GGUGCAAGCGUUAAUCGGAAUUACUGGGCGUAAAGCGCACGCAGGCGGUUUGUUAAGUCAGAUGUGAAAUCCCCGGGCUCAACCUGGGAACUGCAUCUGAUACUGGCAAGCUUGAGUCUCGUAGAGGGGGGUAGAAUUCCAGGUGUAGCGGUGAAAUGCGUAGAGAUCUGGAGGAAUACCGGUGGCGAAGGCGGCCCCCUGGACGAAGACUGACGCUCAGGUGCGAAAGCGUGGGGAGCAAACAGGAUUAGAUACCCUGGUAGUCCACGCCGUAAACGAUGUCGACUUGGAGGUUGUGCCCUUGAGGCGUGGCUUCCGGAGCUAACGCGUUAAGUCGACCGCCUGGGGAGUACGGCCGCAAGGUUAAAACUCAAAUGAAUUGACGGGGGCCCGCACAAGCGGAGGAGCAUGUGGUUUAAUUCGAUGCAACGCGAAGAACCUUACCUGGUCUUGACAUCCACGGAAGUUUUCAGAGAUGAGAAUGUGCCUUCGGGAACCGUGAGACAGGUGCUGCAUGGCUGUCGUCAGCUCGUGUUGUGAAAUGUCGGGUUAAGUCCCGCAACGAGCGCAACCCUUAUCCUUUGUUGCCAGCGGUCCGGCCGGGAACUCAAAGGAGACUGCCAGUGAUAAACUGGAGGAAGGUGGGGAUGACGUCAAGUCAUCAUGGCCCUUUACGACCAGGGCUACACACGUGCUACAAUGGCGCAUACAAAGAGAAGCGACCUCGCGAGAGCAAGCGGACCUCAUAAAGUGCGUCGUAGUCCGGAUUGGAGUCUGCAACUCGACUCCAUGAAGUCGGAAUCGCUAGUAAUCGUGGAUCAGAAUGCCACGGUGAAUACGUUCCCGGG